UGGGGAAUAUUGCACAAUGGAGGGAACUCUGAUGCAGCGACGCCGCGUGAACGAAGAAGGCUUUCGAGUCGUAAAGUUCUUUUAUAUGGGAAGAUAAUGACGGUACCAUAAGAAAAAGCCCCGGCUAACUACGUGCCAGCAGCCGCGGUAAUACGUAGGGGGCUAGCGUUGUCCGGAAUCACUGGGCGUAAAGGGUUCGCAGGCGGAAAUGCAAGUCAGGUGUAAAAGGCAGUAGCUUAACUACUGUAAGCAUUUGAAACUGCAGAUCUUGAGAAGAGUAGAGGUAAGUGGAAUUUUUAGUGUAGCGGUGAAAUGCGUAGAUAUUAAAAAGAAUACCGGUGGCGAAGGCGACUUACUGGGCUCAUUCUGACGCUGAGGAACGAAAGCGUGGGUAGCAAACAGG
rnacentral:rRNA from 1 species